UACGUAGGGAGCAAGCGUUGUUCGGAUUUAUUGGGCGUAAAGAGCGUGUAGGCGGCCAGGUAGGUCUGCUGUGAAAACUCGAGGCUUAACCUCGAGCUGUCGGCGGAAACCAUCUGGCUAGAGUCCGGAAGAGGAGAAUGGAAUUCCCGGUGUAGCGGUGAAAUGCGUAGAGAUCGGGAGGAACAUCAGUUGCGAAGGCGGCUCUCUGGACCAGCACUGACACUGAGGCACGAAAGCGUGGGGAGCAAACAGG
rnacentral:rRNA from 1 species